CCUACGGGAGGCAGCAGUAAGGAAUAUUGGUCAAUGGACGCAAGUCUGAACCAGCCAUGCCGCGUGAAGGAUUAAGGUCCUCUGGAUUGUAAACUUCUUUUAUCUGGGACGAAAAAAGGCGAUUCUUCGUCACUUGACGGUACCAGAUGAAUAAGCACCGGCUAACUCCGUGCCAGCAGCCGCGGUAAUACGGAGGGUGCAAGCGUUAUCCGGAUUCACUGGGUUUAAAGGGUGCGUAGGCGGGCAGGUAAGUCAGUGGUGAAAUCCUAGAGCUUAACUCUAGAACUGCCAUUGAUACUAUCUGUCUUGAAUAUUGUGGAGGUAAGCGGAAUAUGUCAUGUAGCGGUGAAAUGCUUAGAUAUGACAUAGAACACCUAUUGCGAAGGCAGCUUACUACGCAUAUAUUGACGCUGAGGCACGAAAGCGUGGGGAUCAAACAGGAUUAGAUACCCUGGUAGUCCACGCCCUAAACGAUGAUUACUCGACAUUUGUGAUACACUAUAAGUGUCUGAGCGAAAGCAUUAAGUAAUCCACCUUGGAAGUACGACCGCAAGGUUGAACUUCAAGGAAUUGACGGCGNGAGACGNGCGACGGACGACGACGAGGGAGGAGG
rnacentral:rRNA from 1 species